rnacentral:rRNA from 1 species
UGGGGGAUAUUGCACAAUGGGCGAAAGCCUGAUGCAGCGACGCCGCGUGGGGGAUGAAGGCCUUCGGGUUGUAAACUUCUUUUGCUCUGAACAAGGCAUGCUAAUGGGUGUGUUGAGUGUAGGGGUUGAUUAGCGCCGGCUAACUACGUGCCAGCAGCCGCGGUAAUACGUAGGGCGCGAGCGUUGUCCGGAAUUAUUGGGCGUAAAGGGCUUGUAGGUGGCUGGUUGCGUCUGUCGUGAAAGCUCAUGGCUUAACUGUGGGUUUGCGGUGGGUACGGGCUGGCUUGAGUGCAGUAGGGGAGGCUGGAAUUCCUGGUGUAGCGGUGGAAUGCGCAGAUAUCAGGAGGAAUACCGGUGGUGAAGGCGGGUCUCUGGGCUGUUACUGACACUGAGGAGCGAAAGCAUGGGGAGCGAACAGG